GAGGGUAUAGCUCAGUGGUAGAGCACAUGCUUAGCCUGCACUAGGUCCUCGGUUCAAUCCCCAGUACCUCCA
rnacentral:tRNA from 1 species